rnacentral:rRNA from 1 species
UGCGUAGGCGGACUAAUAAGUCAGUGGUGAAAUCUCUCGGCUCAACCGGGAAACUGCCAUUGAUACUGUUAGUCUUGAGUUCGGUUGAGGUAGGCGGAAUGUGUAAUGUAGCGGUGAAAUGCUUAGAUAUUACACAGAACACCAAUUGCGUAGGCAGCUUACUAGACCGACACUGACGCUGAGGCACGAAAGCGUGGGGAGCGAACAGGAUUAGAUACCCUGGUAGUCC